rnacentral:misc_RNA from 1 species
GAUGAAGAACGUAGCGAAAUGCGAUAAGUAGUGUGAAUUACAGAAUUCAGUGAAUCAUCGAAUCUUUGAACGCACAUUGCGCCCUUUGGUAUUCCAAAGGGCAUGCCUGUUCGAGCGUCAUUUGUACCCUCAAGCUUUGCUUGGUGUUGGGCGUCUUGUCUCUAGCUUUGCUGGAGACUCGCCUUAAAGUAAUUGGCAGCCGGCCUACUGGUUUCGGAGCGCAGCACAAGUCGCACUCUCUAUCAGCAAAGGUCUAGCAUCCAUUAAGCCUUUUUUUCAACUUUUGACCUCGGAUCAGGUAGGGAUACCCGCUGAACUUAAGCAUAUCAAAAGCGGAGGA